AUGCCCGGUGGGGACGCGGAGUCUUUGGGGAAAGGGAAAUGCAGCUGCGAAGCGGUGGGGCUGCCCAGGAGCCCGGCUGCGUUUCGGCACGACUUUCCACCCCAGGGCCACCGAGCCCUUCGAAACACUGAGCAGCUGAGGCCUGGUGGCAGGGGGGCAAAUCUGAGUGACCCCCACCCCCCCGGCCCUGGCGGUGUAAAUAAAGCGGGGGUGUUUCUCAGCCUGGGUCCCCCCCCCUUCCCAUGUCCCCCUGCCGCUGCCCUUCCGCCUGCCGCAGCCCAGCGGACCCAGGGCCCGUUGGCACGGAGCGGGUGCCUCGAGCGCCAGCGCUGCUGCAGUUGCAGCCCUGCAACCUGGAGUAGCCCCGCACUUUCUUACAUGGGCUGCAUUUUUUUACUGCACUUUUUUAUUGCACUUUUUUUAGUGGCUCUCUCUUAUUUCAAAAUCUGGGGCACGCUUGCCAGGGAUCUGCUUUGUCUUGCAAAGCAGCAGCUUUUGGGACAGCUGCGCCCCGCCAAACUGUGGUGUAGACCCUCGCUCAUAUGCCCACCUCCUGCUCGACACCCUGGGGAUGUCCCCCGCGGGCGCUCGCCCCGCCUGGGGCUCUGCCGUCUCCAAACCCCACCGCUGCGGGAGGGGGGCAAGAGGAAGAACGAAGCUCCAYGGGCAGCUUGGCUCCUGCUGGGAGCUCGCUUGCGCCGUGGGAGCAAUUGCAAUUUUCUCAACCAACACCUGGAUUUGCCUGUGUGGAUGCAUGAAGCAGCAUUCAGCCCACUCCCUCUGCUUGCCGUGGGCCAGCCUCGGUGGCAUCCCACAGGAGCUGGGCACCGGGUGACUGCAGCAGAGCGGGGACCUGUGCCAGUGUGGGGUGAGUGCCGGAGGAUGCAGCCGGCUCCAAGGGCAGGGACUGGGACAGCACACAGAGGAUGGAGCUGUCUGCUCCCAGCCCACCCUCCCACUCUCGCUUUCUGUGUAUCGGACUAUUCAUUAUGCCACCAAACGGGAGCCUGUUGCCAAUUCAGCCAGGGGUAA
rnacentral:lncRNA from 1 species